AUUGAACGCUGGCGGCACGCCUAACACAUGCAAGUCGAGCGGCAGCAUGCUUAGUAGCAAUACUAAGUGAUGGCGAGCGGCGGACGGGUGAGGAACACGUAGGAACCUGCCCAAGAGAGGGGGAUAACUAAGGGAAACUUUAGCUAAUACCGCAUAAUCUCUGAGGAGAAAAGCUGCCCGUAAGGGUAGCGCUUUUGGAGGGGCCUGCGUCCGAUUAGCUAGUUGGUGAGGUAAAAGCUCACCAAGGCGAUGAUCGGUAACUGGUCUGAGAGGACGACCAGUCACACUGGGACUGAGACACGGCCCAGACUCCUACGGGAGGCAGCAGUGGGGAAUCUUGGACAAUGGGGGCAACCCUGAUCCAGCGAUGCCGCGUGGGUGAAGAAGGCCUUCGGGUUGUAAAGCCCUUUAGGCUGGGAAGAAGUGUGCGGGAUGAAUAAUCCUGUACAUUGACGGUACCAGCAGAAUAAGCACCGGCAAACUCUGUGCCAGCAGCCGCGGUAA
rnacentral:rRNA from 1 species